rnacentral:ncRNA from 1 species
CCGUUCAACUCGCCCCUCCCCGGACGAGGGGCGUACGGGAG